CCUACGGGAGGCAGCAGUGAGGAAUAUUGCACAAUGGACGCAAGUCUGAACCAGCCAUGCCGCGUGCAUGAAGACGGCUCUAUGAGUUUUAAACUGCUUUUGUACGAGGGUAAACGCAGAUACGCGUACCUGUCUGAAAGGAUCGUACGAAUAAGGAACGGCUAACUCCGUGCCAGCAGCCGCGGUAAUACGGAGGGUUCAAGCGUUAUUCGGAUUUACUGGGUUUAAAGGGUGCGUAGGCGGUCGGAUAAGUUAGAGGUGAAAUCCCGGGGCUCAACUUCGGAACUGCCUCUGAUACUGUUCAGCUAGAGAGUAGUUGCGGUAGGCGGAAUGUAUGGUGUAGCGGUGAAAUGCUUAGAGAUCA
rnacentral:rRNA from 1 species